UGCCACCCUCCUGGCAGGACUGGAGCAGCCAGAGUAGAAGUCGUCCAGUACAGAUGACAGCAGCAGCUCUGACGAUGAGGACCAGAGACUGGAACUCUCCAGCACCACCAAGUUUAAAUAAUAAAUGCUAUUUCCCUCUUUGACGCUGACCUGGUGAAGGCUUGUGGAGGACGCACCGCUCACAAAGGAGCCAGACACGGCCUUACCAUGAGUGCCAAACUAGCCAGACUGGAGCAGCAGGAGCAAGAGUUCAUGGCAAAGUAUGGCAAGAAAAUCCAACUAAUGCCUGCAACACCAGAUAGCGUCACCACCAUUACCCAGCCAGCUGCCCAGAUCCCUGAGGGUGAACUAACGGAUGAGACCCAGGGGGGAAAAAAAGAGGAAGAAUAGCUGAGGAUACCCGUGAGAAUGUGGCGGAAGAGAAUGCUGAUUCUGCUGUCGUCUCCAGAAGUACCAACAUAGAAAUAAAGGUGAAAAAGAAGGAUAGUUCAAAGGAGUGGGGAGGUGGCGGUGGUUCCUGUAGAGGAAGAACUAACGUCUGUGAAAGAUAAUACAGCAGACAAUGCUCAGCCAACCAAGAGGAAACAUUCAAAACAGGAAGGUGUUGGAAGAGGGCGAGAGCUGUCAUCUAAAUGGAGGUGUGUGAAACUGCUGUCAUUUCUAUAGAGAGUGAAGCCGGAGGAGGCGGUGAAGAGGCUUCAGAGGGAGAAGGUGCCACUCAGUAACAGACUGACUCAGACACUACUACCAAGAAGAAGUCCUCCAAGAACAGAGGUGGCUCUGGUGGCUGAGGAGAUGAAACACUCUGAUAGAGAAACCAACCAAUCGGAAACUGUGGCAGACUCCCCUCCAAAAGAGAAAAAGAAACGGGAUGGAGCAAUAGAGGAAGUGACAACGGUGGAGGAGGAACCUAAAAUAAAAGGUAAAAAUAAAAAAUAGGAAGAGGACAAGCAGACCGUAGAGGACAGGUUGCAUGAUGUAUCGGACUCCAUACCUCUAAAAUAGAAGAAAGGUAAACAACAGGAACCAGAUUGAUGAGGACUAGUUGGAGAGGAAACAGGUCAGGGAUUUGGGUCAGCGCUCUAAUACGUCUCAUAGACGCAUGAAACCAUCUAAUGAAAUGAAGUAUAUUUUUAAUUAACGCUCAAUGGCCAUUAUUGCAACACCAUGCAAAAAGGAUGUUUUGUUUCUUGUCAACAAAUGUAUUUGUAUGGAAAGAUUCAGCUACAGACUAUAAGAAAAUAUAUAUUUCAACGUCAA